rnacentral:rRNA from 1 species
GAAAGCAAAGAAGGGCAUAUGGAGGAUGCCUAGGCUCUCGAAGGCGAAGAAGGACGUGAUAAGCUGCGAAAAGCUCCGGGGAGUGGCAAAUACACCGAGAUCCGGAGAUAUCCGAAUGGGGCAACCCGUCGAGGCUCGACCUCGACACACGCGAACGCGUGGGCGAACGUGGGGAACUGAAACAUCUAAGUACCCAUAGGAAGAGAAAAUAACAAUGAUUCCGCAAGUAGUGGCGAGCGAACGCGGAAGAGCCCAAACCGCAGGCGUAGCAAUGCGCCGUGCGGGGUUAUAGGACCGGCGCCACGAAGAACCGAAUGCUAGCCGAACCGACUGGAAAGUCGGGCCGCAGCGGGUGACAGCCCCGUAGGCGAAAGCGUUCGGCGACUCCAGCCGGCACCUGAGUAACCCGGAGCACGAGGAAUUCCGGGCGAAUUGGCGGGGACCAUCCCGUAAGGCUAAAUACUAACGAGAGACCGAUAGCGAACCAGUACCGUGAGGGAAAGGUGAAAAGAACCUCGAACAGAGGAGUGCAACAGACCCUGAAACCAUAUGCCUACAAGCGGUCGGAGCGGCUUCGUGCCGUGACGGCGUGCCUUUUGCAUAAUGAACCUACGAGUCACCGUCGUUGGCAAGGUUAAGGACAAGGAUGUCCGGAGCCGAAGCGAAAGCGAGUCCGAAGAGGGCGUCGGAGUCAGCGGAGGUGGACGCGAAACCAAGUGAUCUACCCUUGGGCAGGUUGAAGGACAGGUAAAACUGUCUGGAGGACCGAACCGGUAAGCGUUGAAAAGCUUUCGGAUGACCUGAGGGUAGGAGUGAAAGGCCAAUCAAACUUGGAGAUAGCUCGUACUCCCCGAAAUGUAUUUAGGUGCAGCCUCGGAGAGAAUCUGACGGAGGUAGAGCGACUGAUAGGAUGCGAGGGCUUCACCGCCUAUCAAGUCCUGACAAACUCCGAAUGCCGUCAGACAUAUCCGGGAGUAAGGGCGCGGGUGCUAAGGUCCGCGUCCGAGAGAGGAACAACUCAGACCAUCGGCUAAGGUCCCGAAAUCCGGGCUAAGUUGAAGACAAUAACGAGGUGGGAUUGCAUAGACAGCUAGGAUGUUGGCUUGGAAGCAGCCAUUCAUUUAAAGAGUGCGUAACAGCUCACUAGUCGAGUGAUCCCGCGUGGAUAAUAAUCGGGCAUAAGUCCGGUACCGAAGCCAUGGAAUCACGCUUUGUGCGUGAUUGGUAGGGGAGCAUUCCGUACAGCGUCGAAGGUCGGUGGCGAUGCCGGCUGGAGCGUACGGAAAAGCAAAUGUAGGUAUAAGUAACGAUAAUGGAGGCGAGAAACCUCCACGCCGAAAGACCAAGGUUUCCUGAUCAACGCUAAUCGGAUCAGGGUAAGUCGGGACCUAAGGGGCAGCCGCGAGGCGGACCCGAUGGAAGAAACGGUAAAGAUUCCGUUACUGUCGCCGGGAGUGAAGCGGGGACGGAGGAGUGACACCGCCGCGGACUGACGGAAUAGUCCGUUGAAGAGUGUAGGUAUUCGGAGGCCAGGCAAAUCCGGCCUUCGAGCUGAACUUGACAGUACUGCGAGCCUUCGGGCAAGCAGACAGCGCGGGUAAGCAGACUCCCAAGAAAAUCCGCUAAACAUAUGUCGGCGACACCCGUACCGAAACGGACACACGUGGUCGGGUAGAACAUACUAAGGCGCUCGAGAGAUUCACCGUUAAGGAACUAGGCAAAUUGACCUCGUAACUUCGGGAUAAGGGGUCCCACAGCGAUGUGGGCGCAGAGAAUAGGUCCAGGCAACUGUUUAACAAAAACACAGGGCUGUGCGAAAUUUAAAGAUGAAGUAUACAGCCUGACACCUGCCCGGUGCCGGAAGGUUAAGAGGAGAAGUCAUCGCAAGAGAAGCUUUGAAUUGAAGCCCCGGUAAACGGCGGCCGUAACUAUAACGGUCCUAAGGUAGCGAAAUUCCUUGUCGGGUAAGUUCCGACCUGCACGAAUGGUGUAAUGAUCUGGACACUGUCUCAACGGUGAGCGCGGUGAAAGGGGGGG